rnacentral:lncRNA from 1 species
AUUAUUUAUUAACAUAUUAGUAACAAAUUGCAUUGAGAAUCAAAGCACCAUGGGCCAAACCUUUUGAAUUUCAGAUGUUUAUAUUAAUAUAUCUGAAGACUAGCACGGAGACUAAUAUGUCUUAAGUAGUUUUUGUAUGAUAAAGUCAUCUAUCCAUCAAUCCAUUAUACCUAUUAGCUUUUUUUAACAUUCAUCUCCCAUCUUUUGAUUUCCAGAGUGAGUGAAAUACUGCAGAUGAAAAAUUCUGUGGGGUUGACAUUUUCCUCUAGAGAAUGUAUUUUCUGAAAUGAACUAUAUAGGACCACUUGAAAUCUAUAAAACUUGUGCGAAGGCUGGAUAAACCUAAACAGUUUUUUCUUUGUACUCCAGGAAGACACAGCAGUAUAUGGUAAAUAAAGCACAAGUAUUUAUAUGUAGCUGCAACUAUGUGUUGUUUGAUUACAAUUGUGCAAUUGUGUGUUAUUGCCUGAUCUUCAAAUAACAUGAAAAAUCGCCCUUAAAAUAAACCUUGAGUGGAUGUGAUCUUCAUAGAAACAGUUUGUUUAUUAAUUAAACUUUUGUUUCUCAUAGUACACUGCUUUGAUCUCGUAAUAUUUUUUAAAACAUCCUGAGGGCUUAUUUUCAAGGCUUCCAAAUGAAUUUUUAUUUCUUAAAAGCCGUAAUAUAUUCAUGGUUCAGUGAAUCCCAAAGAUGGUAUUUUUAAACUCCUGUUAAGUUUAUUUUUCUCAGCGUGCUAGUCUCCUGCAUAAUUUUCUUUGCUCUGUGGGUCACAUGACUCCUCCCGUCCAUAACACACGCACUUAAAAUUUUCACUUCCUGAUUGAGCCAUCAAGAUUAUGUAAAAUGUAAAUCAGUCUAACUACCUAUGAGCAGGAAUUUUAAGGGGAAAAUGCUAUUUUCUUUUUCUGUUUCAUUAUUGAUGCCUAAAAAAUUGGAGUAUGUGCUUGCCUAUUUGUAUUUGGAAACUAGAAACUGUUUAGUUUUUUUUUUUUUUGUCCCUUCCCUUUCAGAUUGCAUCAGACUUUGCUUUCAUUAUAAAAAUAAAGUACCAACUAGAUAGACCGUAGGAGUGGUGUAGUUGCAGGACUGAAAUCAAAAUGGUUCCGAUUACUGAGAGAGCUGUUCAUUUACUUAUUAUUUUUUUUUCGUAAUCUGAAUGAAGAGUAUAGCAUCUCUCACAAGGUAACGAUUUGAUAUUUCAAAGUUGUAAAUAGCCAUUUAGCCUUUCUGCUGCCUGAUGGAAAUGAAAGUAAUUUUUCACAGGCUGGAUGACACUUGUUUUAUCAUGAAUCUUAAAAUCCCUCAUAUUUGCUUGAAGCAGUUUUGAAGUUGUCAUAGUAACAGCAUGAUAUUCGGAGGGUCCUUUUAGUAGUUCUUUAGCUCGAGUUAAUUAAUUUUAUUAACUCUGGAUGUUUUUUCUUUUUAUUCUUCUCUGACAAACAAAGGCCAUAAUUGCUCAAAUAUGUAUUUCGUGUUCUUUAUUUCUUGGUGACUGUAGUUCGAGGACUUGUUGUUUUGCAGGUUGUUUCAGGAGAGAAACAAGAAUGUUAUCAGUUGGUUUCAGAUAAGUUAAACUUGAGUUUUUAAUUACUUCUCUGUAAAAUUGCACCACCACUGUAAGACCAGAAUUUGGUUUUAUUUAAAGAGUUGGAUUAUAGGAAAUGUUCUCUCAAAUUUAAUGGUGACUUACACAGUUAAAUUAUGUUACAAGUAUUCUCUCUCUCUCUCUUUUUUUUUUUUUAAUUCUUCUACAUCAAGAAUAAGAAUUGAGGAAUAGAGAAGGGAAAUGUGUCAGACUGCCAGGGGAAAAUUAUUUCUUUAAAAAUGUAACACUCAGAUACAAUAUCAAAAUCAUUUCCACAAGAGAAAAAGAAAUGAGUAAAUCUUGACUUUAUCAAAAUUAAAAGUGCAACAAUGCUUUCUGAAAUUCUAAAAUAUGCCAACAUAAAUUAUCCUCUAGGGAAGUUUGUGGGAAUUUUUUAUUGGGGGAAAGUAGGUCAAGAUCUUCUAUUAGAAAAGCUCUGUGGCAGAAAUUCUUGCCAGUAUGGCGAUUGGUGAGAAAGGAAGCCCUUCUCUUGGGCAGGGAGAGGGUCUGAAGAAAAAAUAGUCUGUAUGAGGUCUGGAUGCAGGGACUUAAAAAAGUAUCAGAUGUUCAGUGCUUUUGUUUUCUUAGAAAAGUGAUCAGAGAGAUGUGGCACUUAUAAAAGGGACCACGUGAGUUCUGUGGGUUUAAUGCUAACACCAGUAUCCCUACUGUCGUGUGAAGUAUUUGUUCAACCAGGGGCGAUUCAAGAAGGUCGGGGUAGCAGCGUGUGCAGCCAACAGCAGUGAAGGUGCUAAUACACGUCCAGUGAUGUCAGGAGUUACGAGACAGAGGUUUCAAAAUACUGCGGUAAACAAGGUCAAAGUGUCCCAUUUUGCUGGAAGAAGGUUUGUUUUUAUGAGCUGAACAGUACAUGGAUGAAGUAAGUUUUCAAAACAAACAUCAAAUUUGGGUUUUAAAAAAUGAACCCGAUGAGAUUUAGUAAGGGGUUACAUUUUUAAGCAAAAUUAUACUUUUUUCCUUUUUUUUUUUUUUUAAAUUGAUUCUCUUUUUAGACAGCGAGACAGGACAAAUGCCGGUCACCAGUAAAAUACCUCUUUUAAUUUUGUGCCCUCCGCUCUUUCUUAAGGCUAAAUUUAAGUGCAAGAAAGUUAAUGGCACAGAAUACUGCUGACUGUGUGGUUCCUGUCUUUAUGCAUUUUCCAACCUUGAACCUGAGAAUGCCAGAGGCUCGCGUCUCUGGACACUCGUCUGAGUGGUUAUCUGCUGGUGGCCUGGUUCCUGAGGUAACAAGUGGGUGUCCCAGGCGUGCGUGUGGUAACAACAGCAGUGGUGCCACGUGGCGCCCAGAGGUUGCCUGGGUCUGAACUGGGGAUUCCUUGUCCUCGAUGAAGCCUCUGAGAUGAACUGUGAACUUGGGGCAUCCGAGAGGCGCAGGCAUUUAGGAGUCCUGCAGCAAACCUGGACCCGAGUGUAAACACAGCUUCCAAAGCGAAAGCAGGGGCCUUGAGGAAAGGAGUUUUACCCUCAUCUCGCUCGCGACCAGCUUACUGUGCUGGAAAACAAAGUAAGUGUUGUUUAUUUCUUUGUUAGUCAGUCUCUCCUACAUGUUUUUUCUUGCUAACAUUAUUAGACACUCAAUAUCUGGCAAAUGCCAAGUUGUUUUUUUUUUUUUUUUUUUUUUUUCUUUCCCCUUCAUCGGGAAGCAGGAGAUGAAGUUUGUUCAAUAGCUAAUUGCUUCUUUUAUCUUUUCGAUCUCUCUUCCUGCAUCUAAUGUGCUGGCUGGCUUGUUAGAGAUAGUAAGAGACUGAAAUUUAUUAUCAAUGAGAAAACAAAAAAGUUCUCUUUUUCUCCCCCCUCUUUUUAAAUGGUUCAAGAACUUAGCAUUAAUUAAAUGACAGUGACACAGACAAGGCUGUUUAUGUGGUGCGGCCAGGAGCGCAUCUAGCAGAAUAGCCCCGCUUCACUUGCCCUCAUUUCCACUGGAAGCAGGAAGGGCACACGACAGGUAUGGAGACGGGGAGUCUCCACGUGGAAACUGCAGGCACUAGAUGGGAAUGGCUCUUGGACAAGAGGCUGUAAUUUUAAAACCUGUCAGGAAAUGGGAAGGACCCAAAGAAUACAAGUUAUUUAAUGAUGUUGGGGAAAAAAUUUAAUAUAAAAAAUGGGUUAAAAUAGAUAAAGACCUAACCUCAUCAACAGGAACUGAACUUUUUUUUCUUUCAGGUUAGAAAGUUUCCUCCCUUGCAGAUUUAUAGAAAAUACAUUUAAUAACUUAACAAAAUUAGGAAGAGGCUUUAUCACCUACACAGAAGACUUGUCUGUGACAUCAGCCUGCUUCUGACACUUGGUUCUUGUCUUCCACUUUUGUUUUGUUUUGUUUUUCAUGCUGAUCCUGUCUCCAGAGAUGUUAUGCGGCUUGAUAAAUUUUGAAUACAAGGUUCUGUGGUUUGGAAAAUGCAAAACAAGUGGAAAUGCAGAAUGGUUUGUAAUUUGUAAUUAAACUAACCUUUCUGCAGUAAAAGGGACUGCGUUUACAGUAGCGUUUUCUCAGCUUUCAGCAGUGACACUUUGAAGGUAGAAGGGGACAGCAUGGCUGUAGUGUGGCGUUUGGAAAGCAGAAGUCAGGGAUCUUCUGAAUCCAGUAUGGAAUACCGUGUGAAUUUAAGCCAGGGCUUCUGUGCCGUGGGAACGCACGCUUUAUCUCAGAGUGGUGAUGAUGGAACUUGAGGUGGCUGCACUUCGUUUGAAACACUCCGGGCUCCCUCUCUGAAGGUCUGUGAAUUAUUAAUUCAGCAAACAUCUUUAAGCACCUUCUUUUUGUAUGGCGUUGUGCGCAGACCUGUAGUUUUUCACAAUUAAAUUGACAGAGAUUCGGUUUGCAAAUCAGAGAUUGAGAACAGUUUGAAACAAGGGCGAGUGAGCAGAGAGCAUUACCAUCGAAACGGUUUGUUAAAGAUGGUGCCAAGUGAGCAGGGCUGUCCCCUUCUGAGCUGCCCCUCCUAAUUAAAGGGGAAGGUGGCUGCCAUCUGUUUUCUUUCAUUCAAGGCAGUAGGGGGUCUAGGGUGGAAGGAAGCAACCCCCCCUCUUAUUUUUCUCCCACUCUUUUUUUUAAAGUCGGCUUUCUCCCUAGUCAGUGACCCAGAAGGUCAUUGAUGAUCUGUCUAUCUCAGAAUGAAUAGUAACAUAAGCAUGCAAGGCACUUG